GACGAAGGAUGCAAGCGUUAUCCGGAUUCAUUGGGUUUAAAGGGUGCGUAGGCGGACUUGUAAGUCAGUGGUGAAAUCUCUCAGCUUAACUGAGAAACUGCCAUUGAUACUGCAGGUCUAGAGUAUAGAUGACGUUGGCGGAAUAUGACAUGUAGUGGUGAAAUACUUAGAUAUGUCAUAGAACACCGAUUGCGAAGGCAGCUAACGAAACUAUAACUGACGCUGAGGCACGAAGUGCGGGGAGUCAAACAGG
rnacentral:rRNA from 1 species